ensembl:lncRNA
AUAAGGCCCGCCUAAUGGAGAACAUAAGGCGAGCUGCUUCAGCAUAAAGCUUUUUAAGAACUUCCCUCUGGCAAGUAAUUCACAGCUGGCCUCAAAGGAGGCAUUACUAGCCAGGAGGAGGGCAAGGCAAGAGAUGCUAAAAGAUGAUCUGAUUUAGGGCUUUGUCAAUCAGGCCUUAGUGGUUGGGAUGAUACGAGAUAGACUCGUGUAUUCCCCAAGCUGAAAUCUCUUGAGCCCAAACCACUACUGGCAGUGAAUUAACCAUCUGCUAACCGUGGUGAGGCACUGCCUGGAAGAGUGCAAGCUGAACCAGGCCAAAACCAUAUCAAAGACUGCAUCCAUAAUCUGCGGUGCAAAUGAGCAUGGACACCUCUCAGGCUCAUACCCUGACUGCUUUCUGUUCACUGGUGCACACACACAGCCAGAGCAGCCUCUGUUUGGCUUAAUGAGCAGAGGGCUCACAGGAGACCUGUGGUGGACACAACACCUGGCCCAGCUCUGUGGGCCCUUUGGACUGCAGGGACUGGAGUUUGGAGCACUGGACAAGGCACAGAGGAUCAUGAUCUGGAGGACAGUCUGCCUGCAACUACUGAACCCAUGUAUCCACAGAGCAACGUAAACCCAAACACCUUAAACAAAGAGGAAACUGGAACUGGGGCCAGUAAACAGCACGUCCAAAAGGAAGAGAGUCCUGGGAGGCAAGGAAAAUCAAAGUUUGGCCAGGAUACAGAAGUUCCCACCUCCAGCAAACGCUGCCACAAGAGGCACAGGGACUGCGGCAGCUGAAACCCGGGGUUACACCGCAUCCAAGAAGGGCAGGAGCAGUGCAAGCAGCCGAGCAGGAGCCAGCAUCUCGCCCACCUCCUGUGCCUUCUCCCCAGCAGACAGGGCGCCUUUCUUGUCUGCCACUCGCUGUUCCCGGCACGAGCUGAUGAGGCGCCUUGUUCUCCCCCAGUUGGUACAAAAUAGGCGGCCGUCUUCCAGGAAAGGCACAAAUCUCCUUUGACAAGCAGUGAUAUUAACAGGGAUUAGGGAAUGCAGGAGCCACCGCAAUAAUCGUCCAAAGGGUGCGGCCUGGGCUGCCCGGCCUGGAAGCUCUUUAAUCACAGCCAGAGGUUACGUGGAAGAAGGGGCUGCGCUUUCAAACCACUUACUUUGAAAAGAACACCAGGAAAACUUGCUGGCAAUUUGCAUGCAGAAUGAGAAGUGAUGGACUGUUAACCCUUUGGUAGUGGCUGCUGCUUGAGCACCACUGCGCCUGGGGUGCGGGCACACGUUUGUGGCUCUGGAUGUGGAAGUUACAAUCUCCUGGAGCCAUGCCUGUGUUGACAUAGCUACAAGAUCUUAGAUCUUAUGCAAAGAGGUGAAAAAAAGAGAAAG